rnacentral:rRNA from 1 species
UACAGAGGUGGCAAGCGUUAUUCGGAAUUAUUGGGCGUAAAGGGCGCGUAGGCGGCCCGGCAAGUGGAAGGUGAAAUCCCUCGGCUUAACCGAGGAACUGCCCUCCAAACUGCUUGGCUUGAGACCGGGAGAGGUGAGUGGAAUUCCCAGUGUAGCGGUGAAAUGCGUAGAUAUUGGGAGGAACACCAGUGGCGAAGGCGGCUCACUGGACCGGUACUGACGCUGAUGCGCGAAAGCGUGGGGAGCAAACGGG